ensembl:snRNA U6 U6 spliceosomal RNA
GUGCUUGCUUCAGCAGCACAUAUACUAAAAUUAGAAUGAUACAGAGAUGAUUAGCAUGGCCCCCAUGCAAGGAUGACAUGCAAAUUUGUGAAGCAUUCCAUAUUUUU